rnacentral:tRNA from 1 species
GGUAGCUCAAUGGUAGAGUAUGUGCUUAGCAUGCACAAGGUCCUGGGUUCAAUCCCCAGUAACUCCA